rnacentral:lncRNA from 1 species
GGCCCUCAAUGUCCACCUCAGGAAGGUCCACGUCCACUUUGGGACCUUUGAUAUCAACCUCGGGGCCCUUCAGGUCGCCCUCAAUCUUUGGCACGGACACAUCCACGUCUCCCUUCACUUUGGGGCCCUNNNNNNNNNNNNNNNNNNNNNNNNNNNNNNNNNNNNNNNNNNNNNNNNNNNNNNNNNNUCACUUUCCCUUCAGGUCCCUCAAUGUCCACAUCAGGAAGGUCCACGUCCACUUUGGGACCUUUGAUAUCCAUUUCAGGUCCCUUCAGAUCGCCCUCAACCUUUGGCACGGACACAUCCAUGUCUCCCUUCACUUUGGGGCCCUUCAGGCUCAGAUCAAAGUCAGGCAUGGAGAUCUUGGGGGCUUUGAAGUGCAUUUCAGGCAUCUUGAAUUUGGGGCCCUUCACUUUCCCUUCAGGACACUGCAAAUCAACGUCAGGAAGGUCCACGUCCACUUUGGGUCCUUUGAUGUCCACCUCAGGACCCUUCAGGUCCCCUCCCAACUUUGGCACGGACACAUCCACGUCGCCCUUCACUUUGGGGCCCUUCAGGUUCAGGUCGAUGUCAGGCAUGGAGAUCUUUGGUGCCUUGAUGUGCAUCUCUGGCAUCUUGAAUUUGGGACCUUUGAGUUUCCCUUCUGGAACUUCCAGCUCAACAUCGGGAACCUCAACAUCCACUUUGGGGCCUUUGAUGUCAAGGUCGGGGCCUUUUAUAUCCCCUUCCAGUUUGGGCAUGGACACAUCCACGUCCCCCUUCACCUUGGGGCCCUUCAGGCUCAGAUCGAAGUCAGGCAUGGAGAUUUUUGGGGCCUUGAAGUGCAUCUCGGGCAUCUUGAACUUGGGGCCCUUCACUUUGCCCUCGGGACAUUCCAGCUCCACAUCAGGAACAUCGAUGUCCACUUUGGGACCUUUCAGUUCCACGUCAGGCCCUUUCAGGUCACCCUCUAUUUUUGGGACGGAGAUGUCCAUUUCUCCCUUCACUUUGUGGCCCUUCAGGUGCAGGUCCACAUCGGGCAUGGAGAACUUGGGGCCCUUGAAGUGCAUCUCAGGCAUCUUGAACUUGGGCCCCUUCACUUUUCCUUCGGGACCAUGCAGCUCCACAUCAGGAAGGUCCACGUCCACUUUUGGGCCUUUGAUGUCUACUUCAGGACCCUUGAGGUCGCCCUCAAUCUUUGGCA